GUGAACGCUGGCGGUAGGCCUAACACAUGCAAGUCGAACGGCAGCACAGUAAGAGCUUGCUCUUACGGGUGGCGAGUGGCGGACGGGUGAGGAAUACAUCGGAAUCUACUUUUUCGUGGGGGAUAACGUAGGGAAACUUACGCUAAUACCGCAUACGACCUACGGGUGAAAGCAGGGGAUCUUCGGACCUUGCGCGAUUGAAUGAGCCGAUGUCGGAUUAGCUAGUUGGCGGGGUAAAGGCCCACCAAGGCGACGAUCCGUAGCUGGUCUGAGAGGAUGAUCAGCCACACUGGAACUGAGACACGGUCCAGACUCCUACGGGAGGCAGCAGUGGGGAAUAUUGGACAAUGGGCGCAAGCCUGAUCCAGCCGUACCGCGUGGGUGAAGAAGGCCUUCGGGUUGUAAAGCCCUUUUGUUGGGAAAGAAAAGCAGCAGGUUAAUACCCCGCUGUUCUGACGGUACCCAAAGAAUAAGCACCGGCUAACUUCGUG
rnacentral:rRNA from 1 species